GCAUUGGUGGUUCAGGGAUAGAAUUCUCGCCUCCCAUGUGAGAGACCCUGGUUCAAUUCCAGCCAGUCCA
rnacentral:tRNA from 1 species